CACGCCGUAAACGAUGUCGACUUGGAGGUUGUGCCCUUGAGGCGUGGCUUCCGGAGCUAACGCGUUAAGUCGACCGCCUGGGGAGUACGGCCGCAAGGUUAAAACUCAAAUGAAUUGACGGGGGCCCGCACAAGCGGUGGAGCAUGUGGUUUAAUUCGAUGCAACGCGAAGAACCUUACCUACUCUUGACAUCCAGAGAACUUUCCAGAGAUGGAUUGGUGCCUUCGGGAACUCUGAGACAGGUGCUGCAUGGCUGUCGUCAGCUCGUGUUGUGAAAUGUUGGGUUAAGUCCCGCAACGAGCGCAACCCUUAUCCUUUGUUGCCAGCGGUCCGGCCGGGAACUCAAAGGAGACUGCCAGUGAUAAACUGGAGGAAGGUGGGGAUGACGUCAAGUCAUCAUGGCCCUUACGAGUAGGGCUACACACGUGCUACAAUGGCGCAUACAAAGAGAAGCGAACUCGCGAGAGCAAGCGGACCUCAUAAAGUGCGUCGUAGUCCGGAUUGGAGUCUGCAACUCGACUCCAUGAAGUCGGAAUCGCUAGUAAUCGUAGAUCAGAAUGCUACGGUGAAUACGUUCCCGGGCCUUGUACACACCGCCCGUCACACCAUGGGAGUGGGUUGCAAAAGAAGUAGGUAGCUUAACCUUCGGGAGGGCGCUUACCACUUUGUGAUUCAUGACUGGGGUGAAGUCG
rnacentral:rRNA from 1 species